AACGUGUGCAACUGCCUUAUUCUGGGGAUAGCCUUCGAAGAGAUAAUACCCCAUAAUAUGUUGAUGGCUCUUCCGACUUUGAAACUCGGUGGAUAAAGAUGGCACGCGCAGAUNAAAUAGUUGGUGAAGUACGUCACCCAGUCUACGAUCUUAGGGGGCCUGAAGGUUGGUCCCCCACAUGGUACUGAAAACACGGACCAGACUCCUACGGGAGGCAGCAGUGAGGAAUAUUGGGACAAUGGGUGAGAGCCUGAUCCAGCCAUCCCGCGUGAAAGGACGACUGCCCUAUGGGUUGUAAACUUCUUUGGUAUAGGGAUAAACUACCCUCGUGAAGGGUAGCUGAAAGGUACUAUACGAAAUAAAGCACCGGCUAACUCCGUGCCCAAGCAGCCGCGGGGGGUUAAAUACGGAGGGUGCAAGCGUUAUCCGGAUUUAUUGGGUUUAAAGGGUCCGUAGCGGAUCUGUAAGUCAGUGGUGAAAUCUCACAGCUUAACUGUGAAAACUGCCAUUGAUACUGCAGGUCUUGAGUGUUGUUGGAAGUAGCUGGAAUAAGUAGUGUAGCGGUGAAAUGCAUAGAUAUUACUUAGAACACCAAUUGCG
rnacentral:rRNA from 1 species